GACGAACGCUGGCGGCGUGCUUAACACAUGCAAGUCGAACGGAAAGGCCCUGCUUUUGUGGGGUGCUCGAGUGGCGAACGGGUGAGUAGCACGUGAGUAACCUGCCCUUGACUUUGGGAUAACUUCAGGAAACUGGGGCUAAUACCGGAUAGGAGCUCCUGCUGCAUGGUGGGGGUUGGAAAGUUUCGGCGGUUGGGGAUGGACUCGCGGCUUAUCAGCUUGUUGGUGGGGUAGUGGCUUACCAAGGCUUUGACGGGUAGCCGGCCUGAGAGGGUGACCGGCCACAUUGGGACUGAGAUACGGCCCAGACUCCUACGGGAGGCAGCAGUGGGGAAUAUUGCACAAUGGGCGGAAGCCUGAUGCAGCAACGCCGCGUGCGGGAUGACGGCCUUCGGGUUGUAAACCGCUUUCGCCUGUGACGAAGCGUGAGUGACGGUAAUGGGUAAAGAAGCACCGGCUAACUACGUGCCAGCAGCCGCGGUGAUACGUAGGGUGCGAGCGUUGUCCGGAUUUAUUGGGCGUAAAGGGCUCGUAGGUGGUUGAUCGCGUCGGAAGUGUAAUCUUGGGGCUUAACCCUGAGCGUGCUUUCGAUACGGGUUGACUUGAGGAAGGUAGGGGAGAAUGGAAUUCCUGGUGGAGCGGUGGAAUGCGCAGAUAUCAGGAGGAACACCAGUGGCGAAGGCGGUUCUCUGGGCCUUUCCUGACGCUGAGGAGCGAAAGCGUGGGGAGCGAACAGGCUUAGAUACCCUGGUAGUCCACGCUGUAAACGGUGGGUACUAGGUGUGGGGUCCAUUCCACGGGUUCCGUGCCGUAGCUAACGCUUUAAGUACCCCGCCUGGGGAGUACGGCCGCAAGGCUAAAACUCAAAGGAAUUGACGGGGCCCCGCACAAGCGGCGGAGCAUGCGGAUUAAUUCGAUGCAACGCGUAGAACCUUACCUGGGUUUGACAUGGAUCGGGAGUGCUCAGAGAUGGGUGUGCCUCUUUUGGGGUCGGUUCACAGGUGGUGCAUGGCUGUCGUCAGCUCGUGUCGUGAGAUGUUGGGUUAAGUCCCGCAACGAGCGCAACCCUUGUUCACUGUUGCCAGCACGUUAUGGUGGGGACUCAGUGGAGACCGCCGGGGUCAACUCGGAGGAAGGUGGGGAUGACGUCAAGUCAUCAUGCCCCUUAUGUCCAGGGCUUCACGCAUGCUACAAUGGCUGGUACAGAGAGUGGCGAGUCUGUGAGGGUGAGCGAAUCUCGGAAAGCCGGUCUCAGUUCGGAUUGGGGUCUGCAACUCGACCUCAUGAAGUCGGAGUCGCUAGUAAUCGCAGAUCAGCAACGCUGCGGUGAAUACGUUCCCGGG
rnacentral:rRNA from 1 species